rnacentral:rRNA from 1 species
GUGGGGAAUAUUGCACAAUGGGGGAAACCCUGAUGCAGCGACGCCGCGUGAGUGAAGAAGUAUUUCGGUAUGUAAAGCUCUAUCAGCAGGGAAGAAAAUGACGGUACCUGACUAAGAAGCCCCGGCUAACUACGUGCCAGCAGCCGCGGUAAUACGUAGGGGGCAAGCGUUAUCCGGAAUUACUGGGUGUAAAGGGAGCGUAGGUGGCAUGGCAAGUCAGAAGUGAAAGCCCUUGGCUUAACUGGGGGACUGCUUUUGAAACUGUCAGGCUAGAGUGCAGGAGGGGUAAGUGGAAUUCCUAGUGUAGCGGUGAAAUGCGUAGAUAUUAGGAGGAACACCGGUGGCGAAGGCGGCUUACUGGACUGUAACAGACACUGAGGCUCGAAAGCGUGGGGAGCAAACAGGAUUAGAUACCCCGGUAGUCC